GAUGAACGCUGGCGGCGUGCCUAAUACAUGCAAGUCGAGCGAACAGACGAGGAGCUUGCUCCUCUGACGUUAGCGGCGGACGGGUGAGUAACACGUGGAUAACCUACCUAUAAGACUGGGAUAACUUCGGGAAACCGGAGCUAAUACCGGAUAACAUGUUGAACCGCAUGGUUCAACAGUGAAAGACGGUUUUGCUGUCACUUAUAGAUGGAUCCGCGUCGCAUUAGCUAGUUGGUAAGGUAACGGCUUACCAAGGCAACGAUGCGUAGCCGACCUGAGAGGGUGAUCGGCCACACUGGAACUGAGACACGGUCCAGACUCCUACGGGAGGCAGUAGUAGGGAAUCUUCCGCAAUGGGCGAAAGCCUGACGGAGCAACGCCGCGUGAGUGAAGAAGGUCUUCGGAUCGUAAAACUCUGUUAUUAGGGAAGAACAAAUGUGUAAGUAACUAUGCACGUCUUGACGGUACCUAAUCAGAAAGCCACGGCUAACUACGUG
rnacentral:rRNA from 1 species